GACGAACGCUGGCGGCGUGCUUAACACAUGCAAGUCGAACGGAAAGGCCCUUCGGGGUACUCGAGUGGCGAACGGGUGAGUAACACGUGGGUGAUCUGCCCUGCACUUUGGGAUAAGCCUGGGAAACUGGGUCUAAUACCGAAUAGGACCACGCGCUUCAUGGUGUGUGGUGGAAAGCUUUUGCGGUGUGGGAUGGGCCCGUGGCCUAUCAGCUUGUUGGUGGGGUAAUGGCCUACCAAGGCGACGACGGGUAGCCGGCCUGAGAGGGUGACCGGCCACACUGGGACUGAGAUACGGCCCAGACUCCUACGGGAGGCAGCAGUGGGGAAUAUUGCACAAUGGGCGCAAGCCUGAUGCAGCGACGCCGCGUGAGGGAUGACGGCCUUCGGGUUGUAAACCUCUUUCAAUAGGGACGAAGCGCAAGUGACGGUACCUAUAGAAGAAGCACCGGCCAACUACGUG
rnacentral:rRNA from 1 species